CAGUCAUAGCUAACUACACGACACCCACCUGUCUUCCUCGGCUCCUCCACCCCGGUCCUCUCCUGCCGCGUCGCGUUCGCCCCUCGCAGCGGGCAACUCCCACCGCCGCCGCUUCGCAUCCGCCCAUCUGCUUCCAUCGUCUCACGGAGGUCGCUCACUUCGCCGCCGCCCGCCCCGCCUCUCCCGGUGCCACGGGGCCCUCGGCCGCGCCGUGGCGCUUAAACCCUAGAUCUGUGCCUCCGCGCUGGCCGCGGCCGCGUCCCGACGCCGGCACGCCGCCGAUCGCCGCACGUCGCUCGAUCCCAGGUUUUGCCGCUCGAGUUUAGAUAAGUUCCUUCAAUGCAUCGUGUUGGGAGUGCUGGUAACACAGCUGGCUCGACUCGACCGAGAAAAGAGAAGCGCUUCACAUAUGUACUCAAUGAUGCUGAUGAUAAAAAGCAUUGUGCGGGGAUCAAUUGCUUGGCUUAUCUAGAUGGUUCCAUAUUUAGUACAAGUGAUCAUCUUUUUAGCGGGAGCCGUGAUGGUACCUUGAAAAGAUGGGAAUUAAAUAAUGGGGAUGCAAGCUUCUCAGGAACUUUCGAGUCUCAUGUUGAUUGGGUUAAUGAUGCCAUUAUAGUUGGAGACAAGCUUGUUUCCUGCUCCUCAGACACUACAAUAAAGGUGUGGAAUUGCUUCUCUGAUGGUGCCUGUACCAGGACUCUCCGCCGGCAUUCUGAUUACGUGAUUUGUCUUGCUGCUGCUGAGAAUAAUAGCAAUAUUGUAGCCUCUGGUGGUCUUGGUGGUGAGGUUUUCAUUUGGGACCUUGAUGCUGCUCUUGCUCCUGUAGCCAAAUCUGUGGAUGCAAAAGAGGAUGAGGUUCCUAAUGGAAACUCCGGGCCUGCUUUGACAACACUGUGCAGCAUAAAUUCUAGUAGCAAUAUUGCUUCCUCUAAUGGUCAAUCACAUGGGUACAGUCCAAUAGCUGCCAAAGGUCACAAAGAUUCAGUUUACGCACUGGCGAUGAAUGAUACAGGAACCCUUCUUCUCUCUGGUGGCACUGAGAAGGUUGUCCGAGUGUGGGAUCCGAGGACAGGAUCGAAAAACAUGAAAUUGAGAGGGCACACUGACAAUAUCAGAGCCUUGCUUGUUGAUUCUACAGGGAGGUAUUGCCUAUCGGGAUCAUCUGAUUCAAUGAUAAGACUAUGGGAUCUAGGACAGCAGCGUUGUGUUCAUUCUUAUGCUGUGCAUACUGAUUCUGUUUGGGCACUUGCAAGCACUCCUGCAUUUGGUCAUGUCUACAGUGGUGGAAGAGAUCAAUCUGUAUACCUAACAGAUUUGUCCACAAGAGAGAGUCUUUUACUCUGCACAAAUGAAUACCCUGUUCUACAGUUGUCUCUGCAAGAUGACACAAUAUGGGUGGCAACAACUGAUUCUUCUGUUUAUGGAUGGCCAGCUGAAGGGCGCACACCCCAAAAAGUCUUCGAAAAGGGUGCCUCAUUCUUAGCUGGGAAUUUGUCAUUCUCAAGGGCAAGAGCAUCUUUAGAAGGAUCGGCACCUGUCCCUGUAUACAAAGAGCCAUCUUUUGUUAUCCCAGGAGUUCCAGCAAUAAUUCAACAUGAAAUAAUGAAUAAUAGAAGACAUGUACUGACAAAGGAUACCACUGGUUCAGUCAAAUUGUGGGAGAUCACUCGGGGUGCUGUUAUUGAAGAUUUUGGCAAGGUUUCUUUCGAAGACAAGAAAAAAGAGUUGUUUGAGAUGGUAAGCAUACCUGCUUGGUUCACCAUGGAUGCUCGAUUAGGGUGCUUGUCUGUCCACCUGGAUACUCCACAAUGCUUUUCUGCAGAAAUAUAUGCGGUUGACCUAAAUGUUGCUGGAGCACAAGAAGAUCUCAAGAUUAAUUUGGCUCAAGAGACCCUUCGUGGUUUGCUAAUUCAUUGGAGUAAAAGAAAGCAGAAAUCUAGUUCACACAGCUUGUGUAAUGGUGAUAGUUCAAUAGGGAAAGAUGUUCCGUCGAAAGACUCGCCCCGGUCAAGACCUGAGGUCGACGAUGCCACUCAAAACCAUGCAACUCAUGUGCUUCCAUCAUUUGAGUUUUCUACAGUUUCACCUCCAUCAAUUAUCACGGAAGGUUCUAGUGGAGGGCCAUGGAGAAAGAGAAUUACCGAUUUGGAUGUAACUGAGGGUGAUCUUCCAUGGUGGUGUGUGGACUGCAUUACUCUCAAUCGAUAUCCAAAGGAGAAUACAAAAAUUGCAGAUUGGCACUAGAGCUUUGUGUAGCUGAUUGGCCCUAGAGCUUUGUGGGAAUAACUUGUGUUCAAGUACAUGCAUCAGCAUCCAAUAUUGUUCUUGUUUGUGUCCUACUGGAAAGGAGGAAGAUUUGAGAUACUGAAGAUUAAUGAUGCCCCCUGCUAUAUAAAUCUGACACAGGGUGCUUUGUAACCAUUGCUUUCAUAAGUUAUUUUUUCUGAUGCUUAUUUUCUUUAUAUAAUGCAGAUGCGGGUUUUAUUUACACCCUGCUGAAGGCUCGCCUGCACCAAACAUAACUCAAGGGAAGCUUAGUGCUCCACGGAUAUUGCGAAUUCACAAGGUAGCUAACUAUGUGGUUGAGAAACUCGUUCUUGACAAACCAUUGGAUGGAGGCUCUGAUGCGUUUGUUAUGGGAUUGAGUUCUGCUCAAUCACAGCUCUCAGUUCUAGAUAGUUCUUCGCGGCUUGGACUAAAGCCAUGGCAAAAAACAAAGCCAUGUAUUGAGAUAUUGUGCAAUAACCAGGUUCUAUCACCAGAGAUGAGUUUGGCUACUGUGCGAACAUAUAUAUGGAAAAAGCCAGAAGAUUUGAUUCUUCAUUACAGAGUGGUCCAACCGAGAUGAUCACGGCUUCAGAUCACAUGGUUCUCAGCAUGCCUGCACCAUAAACGGUGUGGUUGAAGACACCCUUGGCUUAGCGAGGAAACCGUCAGAAAUAUUUUGCUCUUGGGCUCCGGUAGCCUUUCUCCUAGAAUCCCGACUUCGUUUGCUUCUUUGUAAAGUUCCUUCCUGAUCUUGCCCUGGUAGUAAGAUGUAUCAUAGCACAGGUAUAAGGCCCUCUGCUUGUACAUGUAGAAGAUUUGGGUGCUUAAUAAAGGUCAAAUGGAUUUUUUUCGUUUUUCUUUGAUAAAGUUUGUAAGAAAACGGGCUGGUUCUCGGCUCAGACCGUGACGUUCCGACGUCGAUUAUUGGAUUUAACCCUGUCGCAUCCUCUUGGUUCUGUUAGCGUAAGAGGUGGACGGGAUGUCGGGAGCAAUAAAGCUGUUUUUUUAUAUA